ACCAGACUCCUACGGGAGGCAGCAGUGGGGAAUAUUGCACAAUGGGGGAAACCCUGAUGCAGCGACGCCGCGUGAGUGAAGAAGUAUUUCGGUAUGUAAAGCUCUAUCAGCAGGAACGAGACAAGACGGUACCUGACUAAGAAGCCCCGGCUAACUACGUGCCAGCAGCCGCGGUAAUACGUAGGGGGCAAGCGUUAUCCGGAAUCACUGGGUGUAAAGGGAGCGUAGACGGCUGUGCAAGCCUGAAGUGAAAGGCGGGGGCCCAACCCCCGGACUGCUUUGGAAACUGUAUAGCUAGAGUGCAGGAGAGGUAAGUGGAAUUCCUAGUGUAGCGGUGAAAUGCGUAGAUAUUAGGAGGAACGCCAGUGGCGAAGGCGGCUUACUGGACUGUAACUGACGUUGAGGCUCGAAAGCGUGGGGAGCAAACAGGAUUAGAUACCCGUGUAGA
rnacentral:rRNA from 1 species